UUUGCGUGUUCUAUGGCAUGUACUAGCCUUUUUUUUUAGAGGGAUAGGUAGCACGUUACCCGCUUCGUUUAUUUCAUUUAGAAAUAAACUUAACUGGAAAUGUGAAUCAACUAGGAUUCGAACUUGGAUCUCGAAUACCAACCACCAAGCCUUUUGCCACUUGCUCUGGGGAUGGUCGGUGUCAUGUACUAGCCUUAAUUUGCUUUUAUGGUAGUUGGAUAUGUAAAAUUUUUUUUUUUUCUGCAUAUCGGACGAUCUCACUGUCCAUUUGACAACAU
rnacentral:lncRNA from 1 species